rnacentral:rRNA from 1 species
UACGGAGGGUGCAAGCGUUAUCCGGAUUCACUGGGUUUAAAGGGUGCGUAGGUGGGUCUGUAAGUCAGCGGUGAAAUCUCCGAGCUUAACUCGGAAACUGCCAUUGAUACUAUAGGUCUUGAAUCAUCUGGAGGUGAGCGGAAUAUGUCAUGUAGCGGUGAAAUGCUUAGGUAUGACAUAGAACACCAAUUGCGAAGGCAGCUCACUACGGAUGUAUUGACACUGAGGCACGAAAGCGUGGGGAUCAAACAGG